AGCCCUCCCUGGGCAAAGAGACACCUUGUUGGUGGUAGUGUUCUUAUAUCAGUCACAGGCAGAGGAGAUAGCAACCCCUUGUUCAUCCUAUCUUAAUACCUAGCCUGGUGGCCAAAGCUUUUUUAUGGCUAGAACUUAUAA